UCUCUGCUCUCCCAGGAUGAUCCCCUCCAGCACCAACGACUUCCUCGUCCGCGACCUCGCCGCCGGCAGAAGCUACGACCUCUGCGUCCUCGCCGUGUUCGACGACGUGGUCACCUCCCUGACCGCCACGCGUCCCCUGGGCUGCCUGUCCUUCACCACCGACACGGACUUCACGCAGUGCCAGGCGCUGCACAGCCACUUCCUGGGCGGGACCAUGAUCAUCAUCAUCGGCGGCAUCAUCGUGGCGUCCGUCCUGGUCUUCAUCAUCAUCCUGAUGAUCCGGUACAAGGUGUACAGCCACCAAGGGACGGCCCACGGCAAGGCCGCCAUUUCCCCCACCGUGCCCAGGCAGCAGAGCAACGGGCAGAACCAGGCGCUGACGAGAUCCGCUUCCAAAAUGGACGAGGACGCGGUGGGACCGUCGAGGGCCGUGUCGCCUAGCAACACCCUGAGAGACACGGUGGCAUUGGUUGUGGAGGAGGCGAGUGGGCGGAACGCCGCCACACGGACCGACUCCUCGGCCAAUGAGGAGUUGCUGUCGCCCGGCAAGGCCCGCUACGGCUCCAGGGUCGCCAUCGAGAUGAAGAGCAGACGGCCAUCUGUCGCCAAAGAGCCCGCCUCCCCCAAGGAACUGGCAGGACCGUGAGGUUUCCUGAAAGCGGAGUGCGGACAUCAACAGCGUAGGCGCCACGCCCAAAAACGAGGACGAAGAAGACGCCUUUCUACUGUUUGUCUUCUUUUCUCCACCCGUCAUUUUGUCCCCGUCUGGUUCCCGCUCAUCGACUUAUCACACUUCUCCUUCCUGGAUGGGAUUACUCGGCGACGGUGAUUGGCCGGUUCCUGCCGGAUCCAGCUGUCAGCGGAAUCAUCUUAAUCACUUUUAAUGGAACCCCGUUUAACACUCAUUAAAUCCUGCUUUUUUUUUAAUUUUUCUUCUCGGCCAAAACACGUGUCACGGUCGAUUCCGCGUGCCGUGAUGGAUGGUUUUUUUGAAAGACUGUGAGAAACCAUACGGAUGUGCUCUGACGCAAAACGGAUGCGACGCUCAAAGGAACACAUUCUCGACCGGACCACGGAGAAGGAUGGGAAAGAACAGACUUGGAUCUACAAAUGCUCAGCACAGGUGGAUUCUGGGUAAUCGUGCUUAUUCACUAUAAACUGUAUAAUCGCAAAGAACGGGUGGAUUCUAACUUUGACCCGCACAAUUCGAACUUCAAGAGACUUGAUUUGACUCUUAAAGAUGAAGAAGGAUUUUGAGACGGACAAUGGAUGUUGACUAUUGGAUUAAACCCUGGCAGACCUCCGUUCUCAAGCAGGUGCAGAAAUCAUCCGUGUGUCUCAAGAUGAAAGAUAUCGGCCCCCCUCCCCCCAAAAAAAAAACGGAUAAAAAAGCAGGACAUCAAUUUCUCUCACGCAUUAGCAAUCUUAUUUUGACCCGUAGCCCAGCCUCCCCAACCCUCAUCGCCAUGACAACCAGUGUUAAUGUUAAGUAUUUUGAUGUGAAGGACAAAUGUGUAUAUUGUUUACUGCAUCGUUUGUGGUGGUCUCUGCUCACCUCAUCAUCAACAUUGGAGUGUGUGCCCAGCAUAUAUGACCUCACAUCUCAGCUGUGUUUUCGUUCUUCGUUAGAAAGGUGGUCCUCGUGUUACGACGCUGACUAUUUUACCCCAUAAGUGAUUAAUACUUGGCAAAAAAUAAUAAUUGCCGUAUUUUCUGGACUAUAGAGCGUACCCAAUAAACUCCAGGGUAUUUCUUUCUCUCCAUAUACAGUAUUAGGAAUAUAAGCCACAGAUAUGUAUGUUCUGAAAUGAGUUAUUUACACAGAAAUAUUCUGUAAAUGUUUAUUUACAUACCUUAACGGUGUCUGUAACAGGGCAGUA